rnacentral:rRNA from 1 species
AACGAACGCUGGCGGCAGGCUUAACACAUGCAAGUCGAGCGCCCCGCCAGGGGAGCGGCAGACGGGUGAGUAACGCGUGGGAACGUACCUUUUGGUUCGGAACAACUCCGGGAAACUGGAGCUAAUACCGGAUAAGCCCUAACGGGGAAAGAUUUAUCGCCGAAAGAUCGGCCCGCGUCUGAUUAGCUAGUUGGUGAGGUAACGGCUCACCAAGGCGACGAUCAGUAGCUGGUCUGAGAGGAUGAUCAGCCACACUGGGACUGAGACACGGCCCAGACUCCUACGGGAGGCAGCAGUGGGGAAUAUUGGACAAUGGGCGCAAGCCUGAUCCAGCCAUGCCGCGUGAGUGAUGAAGGCCUUAGGGUUGUAAAGCUCUUUUGUCCGGGAAGAUAAUGACUGUACCGGAAGAAUAGCCCCGGCUAACUUCGUG